AUGUCAUCCAUGAUAUAUGAGCUUGUGCAUUUCCUUAGCAAAUUUGUUGUGAUUUUUCUUGAUGGCAUAUUCAUACAUCGUGAUCAUAUUGCCUAUCAUCAAUUGCAUGAUAACAUAAUCAUAUUGAGCAUCCAUUACCAUAUUCAUGCUAUUGAUGAACCGUCUCUCUAUGACAUCAUUUUGCACAAUGGUAGAAUUUGUCGCUUUGUGCACCAUGCUUUUGUUCCCAUGAAUGCUUUGCAUCUCAUUCUAGAUCAUCUUGAUAAGCUUCAUGCGCUUUGUCACGACCAAUCUUGCUGCACGGACUCAUUCUUACAUGAUGGACACUUUGUGUGCGCUAACCAUUGUAUUCCCGAGUGUUGCUUGUGUUUGCUCUUUUUGCAUGUCUAUCACUCCGGCGACACCUUGGACUACUUGGAUUGCGCCAUGUCUUCAACUCCGUCCAACUACAAGUUCAUCCCCGACAACCGUUUCCAUGGUGACCAGGAUCACGAUCCGAGGUCGGAUCUUUCCCAAGGGGGGAUGAUGCGGAGCAUCCCACGUUCAUCCCCAUGUACACUCCGACUACUCUCCAAACCCUAA
rnacentral:rRNA from 1 species